UAACCUGCCCAAGAGAUCGGGAUAACACCUGGAAACAGAUGCUAAUACCGGAUAACAACAGAUGAUGCCUAUCAACUGUUUAAAAGAUGGUUCUGCUAUCACUCUUGGAUGGACCUGUGGUGCAUUAGCUAGUUGGUAGGGUAACGGCCUACCAAGGCGAUGAUGCAUAGCCGAGUUGAGAGACUGAUCGGCCACAUUGGGACUGAGACACGGCCCAAACUCCUACGGGAGGCAGCAGUU
rnacentral:rRNA from 1 species